UCCUGUGUUUGCAAUUUGAGUGUAUGUUUGAAUGCUCAAGUGCACACAGCCAGAAACAGAGUCACCUUCUGGUGUCUUUUUUUUUUUUUUUUAAGUUUAUCUAUUUAUUUUGAGAGAGAGAGAGAGAGAGAGAGAGAGAGAGAGAGAGAGAAGAGCGAGCAGGGGAGUACCAGAGAGGGAUCCCAAGCAGGUUCUGUGCUUAGAAAGUGGGGCUCAAACCCUUGAACCAUGAGACCAUGAUCUGAGCCGAAAUCAAGUCAGCCGCUUAACCAAUUGAGCCAUCCAGGCACCCCUCCCUCUAGCAUCUUGUUUGCCCCACGGCUUGAAUUUAAGAUUUAUGAUUGUUUUCUCAGGGGAAUGAGCAUCACGGAGCAAGCUGGAUCCCAGAAUGUGCCUGAUGGUCUGCUGUGUGCCCGUGACACUCAGUCCCGGUGCUUCUGUAGGUACAGCCGCCUUGGCUUGAAAUGGCUCCCAGUCUGUAGGCUGGGUCAGACUCUGUGGCCCCACAGAAGUCCACAUGGACGUUUCUCCUCUGUCUGGUACACUUGCUGAAGGGUCUUGCUGGCCAGUCCCUAAAGAAGAGGUUUUAUGAUUGAGGUGGACUGUUUUGGAAAUAGAACCUUGGCUUCGCUUCUUCUGAUGGGCUGACUCUUCCAAAACUGGGGAAAAGGAGGAUGCCUGUGUUUUCAUCAUGAGACGACCUGUUUUGGAUUUUGGAAAUGUGGGGAGAAGAGUUAAUGCAGAGAAAGAAGAGACCAGACAGGAGAAACAGGAAGCCCGAAGAUACCCUGAGGUUUGGGUCAAAUCCUGGGAUAAAUCAAAGUAUGGUCAAAGAGCUAUUGAGAAGGCAGAGCAGAAGGAACGUACAAGCAUGACUGGUGGAAAUGUAACCGCUCCAGAAAACCUCGGUCAGUUUCUCCAAAGUUAAUGUAUGGGAUCAUGUGACCCUGACAUCCCACUUCUCGGUAUGCAUUCUAGAAAAAUGAAAUUUACGUUAAAUCAAACACUAUCCAUGUAUGUUAAUGAGA
rnacentral:lncRNA from 1 species